CCUUGUACACACCGCCCGUCACACCCCGAAAGUUGGUAACGCCCGAAGCCAGUGGCCCAACCGCGAGGGGGGAGCUGUCGAAGAUGGGAUCAGCGAUUGGGGUG
rnacentral:rRNA from 1 species